AUGUAGAUUUCUAAAUUAUUUUUCUAUUCAGUUUCAGAGUGAUUUCACCUCACUUUUUAAUAUAUUUUUCUUUAAUCAUCUCAUUUGCUUUUUUUCUAAUUCUAAGUUAACAAAGAUGUAGCAAGCAUUAAAUAGAAAAGAUAAGUGAAUGCCUAAUUUAUGAAUAUAUAUAAUUAUAUGUAAUAAAAUUUUAUUUGUAAUGCAUUUCAAGUGUUUCAUAUAUACAGAUUUAGGGGCAUAGUUACACUUCCUACCCUACCCUCCCUCCUGGCCAAACUCAAACCCUUCUUCCUCUUCGCUCUCCCAUUCACACUCUCAAUUUUUACAAAGAUCUAUUCUCAGUUUAUUUAUUACUUGUAAGGUUAAACCUAAACUAAGUAAUGAGAACAACAAAUAGUAUGAAGAAAAAAACACUAUUCCUCAACAGAAAAGAUAAGGGGUCUGUCGUUUAUAUAAUUGAAAAUGUCAUUAAAUAUAUUAAAUAAUAUUCUAAAUAGCUCUUUAGUAUUGAGGUCUCAAAAUUUCUGUACUGCUCACAACAGAAUAAAGUGGUGUGACUAUUUAGAAUAUUCCUCUUUAGAAACUAAUCAUGAUCUGUAUGUUUCUUAAUUCAUAAAGCAGAGAGAAAAGAACAAUACAGAAAGACAAAGCACCCAUCUGUUAGCUCACUCCUUGAAUGCCUGCAACAACUGAGACAGAAAGGAGGAGUUAGCAAUCUGGGUCUCCCACAGGGAUGACAAGGGCCCAAAUAAUUGAGCCACCACCUGCUGUCAUCCAGGGUUGCACUGGCAGGUUGCAAGAAUUGGGAGUCAGUUCCAAGUAUCGAACCCAGGUACUCUGAUGUGGGACAUAGAUGGCCUAAUAUGCAUUUUAACCACUUGGCCAAAUAUCUUCCCUUCUGUAUUUUGAAAGCACUCUUGGGGCCAGUGCCAUGGCUCGCUUGGUUAAUCCUCCACCUGUGGCACUGGCAUCCACUAUGGGUGCCAGGUUCUAGUCCCUGUUGCUCCUCUUCCAGUCCAGCUUUCUGCUGUGGCCUGGGAAGGCAGUGGAGGAUGGCCAAGUGCUUGGGCCCUGCACCUGCAUGGGAGACCAGGAGGAAGCACCUGGCUCCUGGCUUUGGAUCAGUGCAGUGCCGGCUGUGGUGGCCAUUUGGGGGGGUGAACCAAUGGAAAGAAUAUCUUUCUGUCUCUCUCUCUCUCACUGUCUAAUUUCCACCUGUCAAAUAAAAAAAAACUUUGAAAGGGAUUCCAAAAUUGAUUUAAACUUUAGGACCAUUUCCUUAAGAGAGAGAAGGCUUACAAUGUUUUCUAAAACUACCUUUAUGGAAUCUUGAUGUCUUUAUUGCAUUUACUACUUUAUGAAUGAUAUAAAUGUAUAUGAAUAUUUCUGUUUAAUAUUGUACCAGUUUUAGCUAAGAUCACCAUGACAACCAGAGAAGAGACAAAGAGUAAAUGGCAAGUGUAUUCCUUACAUUGUGUAGUCAAGUCUAGUUCUCAUUAAUUCACUGGGAAAAGUUUCUCUAUUUCUGUUUUCUUUCAGUUCCAAGAGAGACAGGUGAAAAUGCAUAUUUUAGUAGAGGUUGGUUGAUUGUGAAAUAGUUUCCAUAGAUCGGAAUUUGAUUUCUGAUGUGGGCAAUUCAAUGAAUCAUUUAUUAUAGCAUGCACAGGUGUUCAUUGGGAAAGCAUCAUAGUCUACUGGAAAGAACAGUUAUUCUCUCCAGAUCAUUCAAGUGCAAAAUUGUAUUAGGGACAGUGAUAAAGGAUUAAAUGACCAUCAGAGCUAUCUUUAUGCCUUAUGUUAUAAGCAAUAGAUAUGACCCUUGUAAUCCCCAUAAUGUCCUACAAUAAUGUAGAGUCCUUUUAAAGAUAACCAAUGAUGCUCAGCAUAUCCAGAGUGUGCCACACACCUGGGGAAUUUCACACUAGGCUCUCAAUACUAUACAGUUGUAUGUUCAUUUUAAUUAUACUUGUAAUUCUUAUUUUCCUUGUCUGGAGAGGCAAAGAAGAGAUACAAAGGCAGAUGCUCCCCAGCUUCCCACAACAUCUGAGGCUGGGCCAUGCUGAAGCAAGAACACAACUAAGAAUGAGUUUCCUGCCUGGGAAACUGGUACCCAACUGCUUCAGUCAUCACCUUCUGCCUACCAGGGUGUGCACCAGCAUCUGAAGCACAAGCAUCAUCAUAAGUGUUGCACCAGGGGUGCCCUCAAAUUCCCCCUUCUCCCAAUCAUCAUGCUCGUCGCAGCUCUGAAACUGCUGUUCUAAAAACUCCUCUGCAUGGGUGGGCAUUUAGCAGAGGGGUUAACACACCAUGUGGGGUGCCUCAGUUGCAUAUAAGACUGUGGGUUCAUCACCUGGAUCCCCUUCCAAGCCUAUCUUCCUACAAUGCUCAGCCUGGGAAGCAACACAUACUAGAUUAAGUACUUGGGUCUCUUCCACUCAUGUAGGACACUCAGAUUGGGUUCCAGGCUCCUGACUUCAGCCUUGCCCAGCUUCCAUAACUGUAGAUACAUGAGGAAUGAACCAGUGGAUGGUAGAUUCUUUAUCUCUCCUCUCUUUCCACAUUUUAAAAGUAAACAAAUAAAUAAUAGACACCACUUUACAAUUCAAGUCUGCUUCCCAUGUCUCUAAUCCUAUAGAUCUAUCUUUCCUCUGAAUAUAAAUUAAUUUCACUUACUUUAGUCUUAUACACCAUAUAAAUAACUAAAAUAAGUGAUAUAAAGUGAUAUAUUUUAUACACAAAUGUAUAAAUCUGUAUAGUCUUACUUAGAUGUUAGUUUCAUGUUUAUUGAAAAAGCAAUAAAAUCCCCAUUUAUAUACUAAUCAUUCUAUCUCUUCUUCAUAAAAGAAUUUCAAAUAAAAUUUUAUGUUUAAAUAUUUCCUCUUCUUUCCUUAUGUUGAAUAACACUUUGCAGAUAAUAGUCCAAUUCCACCAGUCCAUUGGAAGGAUUCUCUUUCAAUUCAAACAUUAUGAUGUUAAAUGAAAUAGGAAUGUCCACAACUUAAUCUGUUUGACUCUCUUCAACAUGUCAAAAAUCCAACAAAUCUCUUCUACUGAGUGUAUGACCCUUCUUUCUUUUGUGAUUUUCUUUUCUUACUUACUACUCAUCUUUGUUCCUCUUAUAUUUCCUUUUUAAAUAUUAUUACAAUUCAUACUUCUGUCCUUGGUUUCCUGCUUUCUUGAUACACAAGAACACUUUAAGAACUCCAUGUGUUUGAUUGAGUUUAUUAUCACCUGGCUAAGUUGUGUAUAAAAAGUAGUAAUUUCCUAUAUUCUUGCCUCUAACCUGAUAACAGUAUUGCAUAACAUCCAGAUAUAUUUUGAAAUUGUUAAUAAGUGCUUGCAAUUAGAUACCUGAGUCUCCAUAUAGGUGUGUAUUAGUAGAAUUAGAUAGUAAGGAGAAGUAGCCAGCAAAAAAAUCUGUUUGACUGGACAACAUUAUGAGAGAAUUACUGGGGCCAGCAAUGUGGUGUCUUGGGUAAAGCCAGCACCUGUGAUACCAGCAUCCCAUAAGGGCACUGGUUUGAGUCCUGGUUCCUCCACUUCUAAUCCAGCUCACUACUAGUAUACCUGGAAAAGCAGAAGAAGAUGGCCCCACGUACUGAGGUCCCUGCACCCACAAGGGAGACUCAAAUGAAGCUUGUCAUUGUGGCUAUUUGGGCAGUGAAGAUUUCUCUCUCUCUCUCUCUCUCUCUCUCUCUCUCUCUCGCUGUAACUCCACCUUUCAAAUAAAUCAAUAAAUAAAUCUUAAAGAGACAGUGAUUAUUUAGGAUAUGAGAUGUGAAGUGGCAUGGUAACUAUGUUGUAUGUGUGUGCAUAUGCACAAGGAUUCUUUACAAAACUCAUGGAAUGUGCAAUGGAAAGGUUUAUUAUGUGCAAAAACUUUAGAAAUCCACAUAUUUUAGAAUAUUAGGUAUUUUCCAUGAACUUCUAGGAGACCCUUCAUAUAUGUAUGUGUCUAUACCCUUUCCCUUAUAGAAAGAAUGUUUCAUGGAAAGACACCAACAUACCUACUAAAUUACAGACCACACUAUGUGAAAUAUAUGAUGAGGACUACAUAAUAGAAGAAAAAAAAGAAGUAUUUCUUACUCUAGGGGACUGGGAUAGGAUUACAUUUUCAGUAUUUAACUUAUUUACAUGGAACUUAGCCCUCUCAAGAAGUGACUUUCUACAGAAGGUCAUCAAAAAGCAUGGAAUCAAACAUGACAUAAACACUGAAGAAGCCCAAGUUUGUAAUACGCAUAAUAUGAAUAUAGUAGAUGGAGAAAGAGCAGAAUCCUAAUCAUAUUGCAACUAACCAUUCUCAAAACUGAAGGAUAUGAUUUUGUUAAAGUGAAGAUAGCUUUUCUGCACCAUCAAAGGUCAAACCUAAACAUGCAGAUAAUGGAACAUUAGUAACGUUUCCUGGGAGUGAUUAAUAAGAUAAUUGGUUGCUUUCAAGACUAGUUUUUGGAAUGAAAUUAAAGAUAAAUGAGACUUUAAUGUUUUGACAUUUCAUCCUAUUGAACAAUGGGUGGAAUCACAUGAGUUUAGAUGAUGCUUCCUACUAAUAAAAUCAUCUCCAUGGAUCGUACUCAGGAUUAUACUUCAUGGAUUACGUAGCCUGUAACUGAAGCAAAUAUCACCACAGGAUUAAACUUGCUUAUUCAACUGGAGCAAUUUCCACAUUUUAUCCAUGAUCUUUUUGAAAACCACACGGAGAAAACUAGUGCAGAAGCAACACGAUGUAAAAAUUCAUGGCAUUAUUUUAAACAUAAAAGAUUAUAAAUAAAGAACAAACUGCAUUAAAGAAUAAAAA